rnacentral:tRNA from 1 species
GGGGGUGUAGCUCAGCUGGGAGAGCACCUGCCUUGCACGCAGGGGGUCAGCGGUUCGAACCCGCUCACCUCCA